rnacentral:rRNA from 1 species
AACGAACGCUGGCGGCAUGCCUAACACAUGCAAGUCGAACGAAGCCUUCGGGCUUAGUGGCGCACGGGUGCGUAACGCGUGGGAAUCUGCCCUUCGGUUCGGAACAACAGUUAGAAAUGACUGCUAAUACCGGAUGAUGACGUAAGUCCAAAGAUUUAUCGCCGAAGGAUGAGCCCGCGUAGGAUUAGCUAGUUGGUAAGGUAAAAGCUUACCAAGGCGACGAUCCUUAGCUGGUCUGAGAGGAUGAUCAGCCACACUGGGACUGAGACACGGCCCAGACUCCUACGGGAGGCAGCAGUGGGGAAUAUUGGACAAUGGGCGAAAGCCUGAUCCAGCAAUGCCGCGUGAGUGAUGAAGGCCUAGGGUGUAAAGCUCUUUUACCAGGGAUGAUAACGACAGUACCUGGAGAAUAAGCUCCGGCUAACUCCGUGCCAGCAGCCGCGGUAAU